rnacentral:rRNA from 1 species
UUUCUAGAGAUAGAAAGUUACUUCGGUACAUCGGUGACAGGUGGUGCAUGGUUGUCGUCAGCUCGUGUCGUGAGAUGUUGGUUAAGUCCCGCAACGAGCGCAACCCCUAUUGUUAGUUGCCAUCAUUCAGUUGGGCACUCUAGCGAGACUGCCGGUAAUAAACCGGAGGAAGGUGGGGAUGACGUCAAAUCAUCAUGCCCCUUAUGACCUGGGCUACACAUGUGCUACAAUGGUUGGUACAACGAGUUGCGAGUCGGUGACGGCGAGCUAAUCUCUUAAAGCCAAUCUCAGUUCGGAUUGUAGGCUGCAACUCGCCUACAUGAAGUCGGAAUCGCUAGUAAUCGCGGAUCAGCACGCCGCGGUGAAUACGUUCCCGGGCCUU